rnacentral:lncRNA from 1 species
AGUUUCCGCCGCUACCUCCUCCUCCGGCGGAUGAAGCCGCCGGGAGAUUUGGAGAUGUGCGGAGGGAGGAACAUACCGAUGCAUUGCGUGGAAACGAGACGACGAGCCUUGGAUCGCGCGUGAGGUUGAUCGCUCUAGGACCGGUCUGGUUCGGUUUAGCCGACAAGUGGAGACGAGCUAUAGCCGCCAUCUUCUUCUCAACGAGUCGCUUCAAGAAUGGGAGAAGUUGAACUAAAGAUCUGAGAGAUCUGAGAUUGAAUCGAAUCACGGCGUGCAGACAGAGAGAGAGAGAGAGAGACAGAGAAUCUCGUUCGCCUUUUAAAAAAAAAAACCUUCCUUUUAAAACACAACACAACAAUCAAUGUUCUCAAUGGGGCCCACUUCCCACCUGCGAAAACUGAAGCUGGAUCUGAGCCCACCACGUGUCGGUACGAUAAACUAACUUCACCAACUAUAUUCACCUCACCCACCACCAUUGUUGAUUUUUUCUUUGCUUACGGACAAAAAAAGUAUUGAACUUUCAAUGUUUUUGUAGAUACAGACGAAGAAAAGAGACAAGCUUUCCUAGGACUAACAGUUGUUUGGUCUCUUUUCUCUACUCAAACUAGCUGUUAUUGGACGAAAGUAUUGCACUUUCAACGUUUAUAUAGAUGGAAACAAGGCAAAAGGACAAGCUUUCCUAGAAAAGACAUAACUUAUUGCUGCUCAAAACACGAAUAUAAUGUAAUUAGAUGUCAAUACUACAACAACUCACACAACACAUGAAUAAAUAAUCCCAAAAACAAUCUAAAAUCUUAAUGGUUACAAAUGCAUCAUCAUCACAGCUACUUUCACGUUUCUUUUCAAAUGUUUUCCUCUGUUAAGGAGGAAAGACAUUAGAGUACUUCUCUUGGUGCUUUGUGCUUUGAGAAUCAUCACUGGUGUGGAUCAGAGAGGUAUAAAAGCAGAAGAACCAAGAGUAGACGUUACAUAAACAAAACACCAUUAGGCUUGGUUAUACACAUAUAUGACUCGCUGGACAGGCUUUGAAGAUCCCAGGCAAGAGAUUCGAGGCCCCCGCGGAGGCUGCGGAGGGAGCUAAGAGGUACAUGAGCGUGAAGUUGAGGAUCGAACCCACGACGAGGGUCGAGAAGACGAAGUCUAGCUCGUUGAGUCCGAAGUUGGGGCGUGAGGCCAUGUCGCCGAGUACGUUGGCGGUUACGCCAACGAGCUCUUCCAUGAGGACUUUGAAUGGGAACUGAGGAUCAGCUGCGACUCGUGAUCUCCAUCCUUGGAUGAACAUCCCUAUCGGUCCCCAUGGAGACGGUUCUUGCUUCCCUCCUGAAUCUCCGUUAUCACCGCCGCCGCCGCCUCCGACGAAGUUUCCGCCGCUACCUCCUCCUCCGGCGGAUGAAGCCGCCGGGAGAUUUGGAGAUGUGCGGAGGGAGGAACAUACCGAUGCAUUGCGUGGAAACGAGACGACGAGCCUUGGAUCGCGCGUGAGGUUGAUCGCUCUAGGACCGGUCUGGUUCGGUUUAGCCGACAAGUGGAGACGAGCUAUAGCCGCCAUCUUCUUCUCAACGAGUCGCUUCAAGAAUGGGAGAAGUUGAACUAAAGAUCUGAGAGAUC